AGAGUUUGAUUAUGGCUCAGGAUGAACGCUGGCGGCGUGCUUAACACAUGCAAGUCGAACGGAGUUUUAAACGGAAGUUCCGGAUGGAAGUUUAGAAACUUAGUGGCGGACGGGUGAGUAACGGCGUGGGUAACCUGCCUCAUACAGGGGGAUAACAGUUAGAAAUGACUGCUAACACCGCAUAAUAUAGCGAAACCGCAUGAUUUUGCUAUCAAAUAUUUAUAGGUAUGAGAUGGGCCCGCGUCUGAUUAGCUAGUUGGUGGGGUAAAAGCCUACCAAGGCGACGAUCAGUAGCCGGCUUGAGAGAGUGACCGGCCACAUUGGGACUGAGACACGGCCCAAACUCCUACGGGAGGCAGCAGUGGGGAAUAUUGGACAAUGGGGGAAACCCUGAUCCAGCGACGCCCGCGUGAGUGAAGAAGUAUUUCGGUAUGUAAAGCUCUAUCAGCAGGGAAGAUAAUGACAGUACCUGACUAAGAAGCCCCGGCUAACUACGUGCCAGCAGCUGC
rnacentral:rRNA from 1 species